rnacentral:lncRNA from 1 species
GACAAUUAAGUGAUACUCUCCUAAGGGUACAUUAGUCAUUUACUUAUACACUAAGCUAAAUUAGUUAGUGUUAAAUACUUUACAUAUACAUAUAUAAAGAGGUGAUAAAAAGAAGUAAUGAAAAUAAUAGACAUACGCUCUUUUCUUUCUCUUUUCUUCUUUCUUCUCUCUGCUAUUCUCUGCUAUUCUAUCCUCUGCUUCUAACUGGGUUUCAUCCCAUUCAUCUUCUUUCAAAUUAUCUCAUGGUAUCAGAGCCAUCUCGCUAGAUAUUCUAGUCGAAGAAUUGGCAUUUAGUGUUUGUUAAAAUUGCAUGUUGCUAAUCUUGAAAUUCUGAAAUUCUUGGGCUUUUCUUGAACUGAAAUGAGUUCAAUCGGAGAACAACCUUCAGAUGGUACAACUACAGGAGAUCGACAAAAUCUGGGUAUUGGAGUUCCAAACCCAGGAAAUGCAGGAAUCGAUUACAACCAUCCUCUGUUUCUUCUCCAGCUGAUGUUAGUGGCAUACAAAUCAUUUCGUUCCAGUUGACAGGUAUUGAAAAUUACUCUAUCUGGUUUAGAUCUAUGCGUGUAGCUUUAUUGGGUAGAAACAAAUUGGGGAUGGUAGAUGGUACAUGCAAGAAAGAAUCAUUUCCUGAAUUCAUGUGGAAUCACUGGGAAAGAGUUAAUGCAAUAGUCCUUUCUUGGAUUAUGAAUUCUGUAGCUAAAGGUCUGCUUGGGGGGAUAAUGUAUGCGUCAAGUGCACAAGCAGUCUGGGAAGACCUGGCUGAAAGAUUUAACAAGGUUGAUGGGUCAAGAAUCUUCAACCUGCAUAAAGAAAUUGCAACCUUGACCCAAGGAACAUCAUCUGUAUCAGUCUAUUAUUCACGACUGAAUGAUUUGUGGAAAGAAUUUGAGUCAUUGGUUCCUGCCCCAAGUUGUGAUUGUGCAAAAUCAAGGGAAUUUGUGAUCUAUCUGCAAAAAUUGAAGUUAUACCAAUUUCUAAUGGGACUAAACGAUUCUUAUGCACAAGCUAGAAGCCAGAUACUUAUGAGAAGUCCUGUACCAAAUGUGAAUCAAGCAUAUGUUAUGAUAGUAAGUGAUGAAAGUCAAAAGGCUAUAGCAGCUACAUCAAGGGUGUUAGGAGCUAAUCCUAGUGUGGUUACAGGAAAUUAUGAUGUUGCAUUAUAUACUAGAACUGUUGUGGGUAACCAAAGGUUUAAGAAAAAUUACAACAUCUCAUGUGAUUUUUGUAAGAUGAAGGGGCAUAGUAAAGAGAAUUGUUACAAGAUAGUGGAUAUCCUCCUGAUUUUAAGUCGAAAAAGAGAGGGGGAGCAGGAAAUGGUGCAACCUACAAUGUAUUUGGGGAAGGUGUUCCACAGAAUGGUAUACUGACAAACAAUAUGACUGCGGGCAAUCCAAAUACAAUUGGAGUAAACCAAACUGCAGGACACGGACAGGAGAAUAUAAUGACUCAGCUAUCUCAACUUGGAGUGUCUCCAUUUACAAAAGAACAGUAUGAUCAGAUUCUGCAGUUACUCAACAAAAAUCCUGCACCAGUUAGAAACAAUACAUCAUCAUCUGCAGCAAAUGUAGCAGGUACAAGUACAAGUACAACUUUACUAGCUUCAGAGGAUAGUAAGAAAGAAUGGAUAGUUGAUACAGGAGCUACAAAUCAUAUGGUCGCUGACCUAAAACUGUUAGAAAAUUCAUUUGUGAUUCAACCUGAAAUUCCAAAGAAAGUCUAUAUGCCUAAUGGUGACAUUUCAUGUGUGACACAUAUAGGAGCCAGCAAAUUACCUAACAAAAAUAUCAUUACUAAUGUGUUUCAUCUGCCUCAAUUCAAGUUCAAUUUGUUAUCAGUUUCUAAAUUGACCAAAGAGCUAAGGUGUUCGGCUACCUUCUUUCCUCACUUCUUCAUUUUUCAGGAACUCUUCAAUGGGAAGGUGAAGGAGAUUGGUAAGGAAGAUAAUGGUCUUUACAUACUUGAUGAUCAAACACCUGGAAGUUGCUCAAAUGUCUCUUUGGCAGUUAAAAAGAAGAAUGUUGAAGGUGAAAUAGUUCAGUCAGAAGAUAUUGAAUUGUGGCAUCAAAGGUUUGGUCAUGUAUCUACUGCAGUUCUUAGACAUUUGCUACCUAUAAAUGUAGAGCUUAUAGCUGACAAAGUAAAUAAGUGUGCAAUAUGUCCAUGUGCAAAACAAACAAGAUUGCCUUUUCCUGCUAGUAAUAUUAAAUCUGUUGCUUGCUUUGACUUAGUACAUAUGGACUUAUGGGGUCCCUACAAAAUAGCAACAUAUGAUGGCAACAAAUAUUUUUUUGACUGUAGUUGAUGACUAUUCUAGAAUGUGUUGGGUGUUCUUACUUAAACUGAAGUCUGAUGUAUGUGUGAUAAUUAAGCAGUUUAUCACUUUUGUUAAGACUCAAUUUGAUAAGGUCAUUAGAGUGAUCAGGACAAAUAAUGGAACAGAAUUUGUCAACUCUGUUUGCAGUAGUUUGUUUCAACAACUAGGCAUAAUUCAUCAAAAGACAUGUGUCUAUACUUCUCAGCAAAAUGGAGUUGCUGAAAGAAAGCAUAGACACAUAUUAGAAGUUACUAGAGCUAUUAGGUUUCAGACAGAGAUUCCAAUCAAAUUUUGGGGUCACUGUGUGUUAGCUGCAGUAUAUCUUAUAAAUAGGAUACCUAGCAUAGUGAUCAACAAUCAAUCGCCCUAUGAGAGGUUGUACAGAAGAAGACCAUCCUAUAAUCACAUGAAAGUUCUAGGAUGUCUAUGUUAUGCAAAAAUAGUUCAAUAAUAUGACAAAUUAAUGACAAGAACUAGACAAGCAAUUCACAUGGGAUAUGCAGAAAUACAGAAAGGAUAUCUACUUUAUGAUCCCACUGACAGAAGCUUCUUUGUCAAUAGAGAUGUGAUUUUUAGAGAAGAUGUAUUUCCCUUCAAAGUUAAACAAAAAGUCACCCCACCUAUAUUUCAAAAGUCUGUUCCUGACUCAAUGUCAUAUGAUUCAUAUAGUACUCCUGAAGGUCAACUAUCUGGAAUUAGAACCUCUACUACUCAGACAUUAAAUACUCAAUCUGAAGUAGUUGAACCUCUAGAAGUACAGUGUACUGAUAUGGAUCAAAUCAAUGAGGUUCAAAUAGAACCAGAUGAGUCUCAACCUCUUAUCAAUGCUCAGCACCUUCAUGAACCUCUAGAAAAUCAACAUCAAGCUGAAGUUGCUGAAAUAACCGAAUCUUUAGUGAAUCAAAACCAACUGAUAGAAGGUGGAAUUAGGAGGUCUGGUAGAGAAAAAAGGCCACCUAUUUGGAUGAAUGACUUUGUGUCUCUAAACAUUCAUCAUGAGGUUCCUUAUGCUAUGUCUAAGUAUAUCACUUACAAUAAUAUCUCUCCCUCUUAUCAAGCAUAUAUAGCAGUCUCCUCAUCUACAACUGAACCUUCAAACUACUGUGAAGCUGUUAAAGAACCCAGGUGGGUCGAUGCAAUGAAGGCAGAAAUUGAAGCCUUAGAAACUAAUCAUAUAUGGGACAUAGUCUCAUUACUUGAGGGCAAAAGUCCUAUAGGAUGUAAGUGGAUUUAUAAAAUCAAAUACAAGGCUUCAGGAGAAAUUGAAAGAUUUAAGGCGAGAGUAGUGGCAAAAGGGUAUAGUCAAAAAGAAGGCAUUGACUAUCAAGAAACAUUCUCACCAGUUGUGAAAAUGAAAACUAUCAGAACUGUCUUGUCUAUUGCAGCUGGUAAACAAUGGCAUAUACAUCAAAUGGAUGUAUACAAUGCUUUUCUUCAAGGGGAUUUACAUGAUGAAAUAUAUAUGCAAUUACCACAAGGAUUCAAGAGUUAGGGGGAGAAAAAUCCAGUGUGCAGACUCAUAAAAUACUUGUAUGGGCUAAAACAAGCCCCAAGGCAAUGGAAUGCCAAACUAACAGAAGCUUUACUAAGUUUUCAAUUUCAACAGAGCCAAUGUGAUCAUUCUCUCUUUAUUAAGAAGACAAGUGAAGGCACAAUAAUAGUUCUUGUAUAUGUUGAUGGCAUGUUGAUUACAGGUGAUGGUCUAAAGCUAAUUGAAGACACAAAAGCUACUCUACAACAAACUUUUAAGAUGAAGGAUUUAGGUGAGCUAAAAUACUUCCUAGGUAUUGAAUUUGCAAGAUCCAAACAAGGGAUCUUAAUGCAUCAAAGGAAGUACACACUAGAACUCAUUUCUGAAACUGGCUUAAGUGCUGCAAGGCCAGCUAUAACACCUAUGGACAGCAAUAUCAAGUUACCUACAAAAGAGUAUGAUGACUAUGUUGAAGAAACAGGUAAGUCAGAAGAUGGUUUACUUCCUGAUCCAAGCAUUUAUCAAAGAUUAAUUGGGAAACUUCUGUACUUAACUAUGACAAGACCAGAUGUAUCAUACAGUGUACGGAACUUAAGUCAAUGCUUACAACAGCCUAAAAAAUCUCACAUGGAAGCAGCACUCAGAAUUGUGAAAUAUAUGAAAAAUCAGCCUGGGCAAGGAAUUCUUCUGUCCAGCAAAUACAACAAUACUAUUUCUGCAUAUUGCGAUGCAGAUUGAGCUUCAUGUCCACAAUCUAGAAAGUCUAUAACAGGCUACUUAGUUAAACUUGGAGAAUCUCUAAUUUGUUGGAAGUAAAAGAAACAGACAACUGUCUCAAGAAGCUCGGCAGAAGCCGAGUACAGAAGUGUUGCUGCUACAGUUGCAGAACUGAUUUGGUUAUUGGGUCUACUUAAGGCAAUUGGUAUUGACGUAAAGACACCAGUUGACAUUUUCAGUGACAGUAAAGCUGCUAUGCAAAUAGCAGUAAAUCCUGUUUAUCAUGAAAGGACUAAACACAUUGAAAUUGAUUGUCACUUUAUAAGGGAAAAAAUAGUCCAAGGAGUGGUUACAACAAAGUACAUUUCCACAAGGGAUCAGCCAGCUGACAUCUUAACCAAAAGCCUCAGUAAAGUUCAACAUGAGUAUCUUUGCUCCAAGCUAGGAGUUCUUAACGUUUUUUUUCACUACCUAGCUUGAGGGGGAGUGUUGAGACAAUUAAGUGAUACUCUCCUAAGGGUACAUUAAUCAUUUAUUUAUACACUAAGCUAAAUCAGUUAGUGUUAAAUACUUUAUAUAUACAUAUGUAAAGAGGUGAUAAAAAGAAGUAAUGAAAAUAAUAGACAUACGCUCUUUUCUUUCUCUCUUCUUCUUUCUUCUUUCUUCUUUCUGCUAUUCUAUCCUCUUCUUCUAACUGGGUUUCAUCCAUUCAUCUUCUUUCAAAUUAUCUCAUACAUUGUAGCUCUAGUUGAUCAGGAGACUCAAAUGAUACAUUUCGUAAUAUUUUAAUGUUUUUAUGAACUUGACACCUUUGAAUUGCUAAAACUGACUUCUCUUUGUGUCAAAGGAACCAAAAAGAACUCCUUUGGAUUCUACUUCUCCUUACCUAAACCUGGAAAUAUAUAACUAAUAAAGUAAGUGAAUGAUUCUGAAAACUAGAUGAACAUUGCUGUUUUUGUAGCUGAAGAGAAUUCGAAAGCUGAUGAGCCGAAAGCAGCAGAACCUCCUCAAAAAACAGAAGAUCCGCCUCAAGGGAGUCUUUGACUUGAUCUAAAGUUAAAGUCAUCAUCAAUAUACACUUGCUAAAAUCGACUUUUGUUCUUCGACAGAAUUAAUGGAGGCACAAGGGGCAGUAUGCUUGAGACAUUUCUGCCCUUUCCCUCAGCUGUCUUUGAGACUAUAGAGCGUGCAUGAUUUUGCAAUGCCCCCAUCAGAAGAAGAUGCACUUCUUAAUUUGGUCGCGACUUUUCCAUUUUUUUCCCUUUAUUUAUCUUCUUUGUUGGAAAAGUGUUACUCAAUAUGAUCUUUUUUCAAAUGAGUCUUUAGUCUUUUGUUAAAUCCUUGAUUCUGUUCAGGAAAAAAGGAGGAUUUGCUGAAAGAUUUUGAUCCAAUCCCUCCAUAUUUUUACUUAUUGUAAUUGAACAAAGUUGUGAUAAUGAAAAGCCUAUGCAAAAACAUUCCUGUUAAGAUUAUAAUGCUCAUUCUGGAGAUCCGCUAAAAAUAAUUCCUCUAUUGACUAUAUGACUUAAAUUCUAGAUUCUACAACUGAGAACAUCAAGAAAGUAGUAGAUUAUAAGAUAGAGUACAACUUCAGAACUUUCUUACGGCAUGCACACUGCAUAAAUCUGAUACAUACUUGUUGGGACCACAAAAUCAGGUGUUAUGAGUAAGCUAGCAAAGCAAACCUUCAACGACUAUAAAUAUAUAGGACAGCAAAAGAGAAAUAUACCAAAAGAGACACAAACAUUUAACGUGGUUCGGUCAAUUGACCUACGUCCACGACAGAGAUGAGCAAUCCACUAUAUAAAAGGAGAGUAUAAAAUAUCGAGAGAACAACCUCACAAAGAGGCAAAGGCUCCUCAAUAAGAGGAAAGAUUCUCUAGAAGUCCAAACUUUUUCCUACAAGAAAAAGGACUUGCCAAAUAUAUGAGAAUUAUAAUUUCCUUCUACAAAAAGGAAAACCUGGUAAAUAUGUUGUCAUUUCCUUCCAGAGAUAUAAAAACCAAAUAUAGUAAGAAAAUCAUGACAAUACAAAGCUGAACAAAUUCUGCAAACCUAUACAUACCGUUCGCACAACUUAGCAUAUUUGCACCAGCUGCACUUAUUGCCUUUUAAGCUCAGUUUUGGUUGCUUUUUCCAUCUGAAAACACAAAGUAACGACAAACCAUAUCAAAUAGUGUAAAAAUUUACAAAAGAAUCAAGCAAUUAGACUAAGAAUGUAUAUCUAAAUCACUAUAUAUAUUUUCAGCAGCAUCAAGGACCGAUAAGGCAAUAAAGUCCGUAUGAUAUACAUCUUUGUCAAGUACACAAUGGCAGUACUUCUUACUACACUGCUAGACCAUGAUUUUGUGGCUUAAAUGAGAAUAUUAUGAUUAUUGAAGAUCAUGUGCUAAGAAUAACAUAUUAGAUAUAGUCCAGUGUUUAAGAUUGAGUUGAAAGUCAAUUGAUGUUUCUGUGCUGAUUUUCUCCAAACUAUGGCCACAUAUUUUUUUCCUUCAUCGACCGUAGUUUUUUCUUAUUAUUGUUAAAUAAAAUCUACAGUUGUUGUGUUUUAAAUUUUAUUUUACACUAAUGUAGUCGAAGUGGGAGAAUUUAGAGAAAUAUUUUGCAUUGUCUUAAAUAUUUUAUUUAUGUUUUAACUAUAUAUUUCGUGUUUGAUAGUAGUCCAUAAAUGCGAACCUAAUUGUAAGUGUG